rnacentral:misc_RNA from 1 species
UCUCCGUAGGUGAACCUGCGGAGGGAUCAUUACAAGUGACCCCGGUCUUACCACCGGGAUGUUCAUAACCCUUUGUUGUCCGACUCUGUUGCCUCCGGGGCGACCCUGCCUUCGGGCGGGGGCUCCGGGUGGACACUUCAAACUCUUGCGUAACUUUGCAGUCUGAGUAAACUUAAUUAAUAAAUUAAAACUUUUAACAACGGAUCUCUUGGUUCUGGCAUCGAUAAAGAACGCAGC